UUAUAUAUAGUGAAAUAUUAUUGCCCAACGACAAUGACAAAUGGUCGUUAAUAACAGAUCUCGUUAUGAUGAAAAUGAUACUCAUUACAGAACUAUACUUACGUCGAAACUGAGAGAAUACUCUCAUAUUCAAUGUUUUUUAACAUGUCUGGCAUUUCGUUUCGCUCGUUAGAGUUACAUAAGUAUUUUUAUUUUCGAAAAUACACUGGAACAAAAAACGUGAUUAUCUGAAGAGUCAUCAUUCAGCUAUCGUCUAGAAAACUUGUGGAUCUUGAUAAAAAUUGAAACAUUAGUAUAAAUCAACGAUAAUUGUGACAUUAAAAUGGCUACGAGCGUGCAAGUUCGACGAAUUUUUAUGAGACAAAUGUCUUUGAAUUCUCCUACACUACCAAAAACUUCUCAACGAGUACAAGAAUUCAGAGACCAGUUAAAAAGGGAUUCUCAGCCUGGAAUGCUAGUCGAUACUUUUGGAAGAUUUCAUACUUACUUAAGAAUAUCUGUCACGGAACGAUGCAAUUUGAGAUGUCUUUACUGUAUGCCAGAAGAAGGUGUGAAAUUAACGCACAGGGAUGGAAUUUUGAAGACUGAUGAAAUCAUUCAGAUAGCAGAUAUUUUUGUCAAGAAAGGAGUAAAAAAAAUUCGGCUGACUGGUGGCGAGCCUACCGUGAGGAAAGAUAUUGUGGAUAUAGUCGGGAGAUUGAGAGAGUUGGAUGGUCUAGAACAAAUUGGCAUCACUACGAAUGGACUAACGUUGACCAGACAAUUACCAGCUCUUCAAAGAGCAGGUCUCGACGCCCUCAACAUUUCUCUGGACUCUUUGCACGAGGAACGUUUUGAGAAAUUCACUCGUCGUAAGGGCUGGAAAAGGGUGAUUGCUGGAAUCGAUUUAGCAAUUCAAUUGGGCUAUAAUCCUGUCAAAAUAAACUGUGUCGUUAUGCGAGGGUUCAAUGACGACGAGCUCGUUGAUUUUGUCAAAUUGACCCGCGACAAACCGAUCGACGUUAGAUUUAUUGAAUAUAUGCCAUUUUCUGGUAACAAAUGGAAUGAAACAAAAAUGGUUUCUUUUGAAGAAAUGAAAAUUAUCAUUAGGCAGGAAUUUCCCGACUUUGAAGCUCUCCAAGGCACACCCAACGAUACUGCAAAGCCGUACAGUGUGCCUGGAUUCCUGGGACGAGUCGGUUUCAUAACGUCGAUGAGCCAGCAUUUCUGCAAUUCCUGCAAUCGCUUGAGAAUAACGGCCGACGGAAAUUUGAAAGUUUGUCUCUUCGAAGGCAAAGGCGAAGUUUCAUUGCGGGAUGCUCUACGAAAUGGUGCAUCAACCGAUGCACUGGAAGAAAUGAUUGGUCGUGCAGUUCAACGCAAGAAAAAACAACACGCUGGCAUGUUCAAUCUUAGCGAGAUGGAAAAUAGGCCGAUGAUAUUGAUCGGUGGUUGAUCGACGAUCGUUCGCGUAUCGCGUAGAGUAAUUCUUCGAUUUCCCUGGACAAAAUUAGACGAGAUAACGUUAUCGCUUUGUUGAAGGUAACUACGUGAAAUAUUUGUCCGACGAUUUGAAACUUCCAAAAAAAGUAGGACAAAUUUGGGAAAAUACCGAAGGAUUGUUCGUUGCAUCAGCGAGCGUAUUUCGAGCGUUGUCGAGUAACAAAAUGUUGAGACA
rnacentral:misc_RNA from 1 species